rnacentral:rRNA from 1 species
UACGAAGGGGGCUAGCGUUGUUCGGAAUUACUGGGCGUAAAGGGUGCGUAGGCGGAUAGUUUAGUCAGAGGUGAAAGCCCAGGGCUCAACCUUGGAAUUGCCUUUGAUACUGGCUAUCUUGAGUAUGGAAGAGGUAUGUGGAACUCCGAGUGUAGAGGUGAAAUUCGUAGAUAUUCGGAAGAACACCAGUGGCGAAGGCGACAUACUGGUCCAUUACUGACGCUGAGGCUCGAAAGCGUGGGGAGCAAACAGG